rnacentral:lncRNA from 1 species
UGAGACUCCUCCUUAGCUGGCUUCGUGUUCUGCCCGCUGGACUGAAUUAACUUUGUUACCCUUUGGGUCCAAGAGCCUUACCUCUGUGCAGCGGUGUUGUAAAAGUGAGAGACUGGCGACAAAGUCCCUACAGGGGAGAUGGAGGAACUAGAGCAAGGCCUGUUGAUGCAGCCAUGGGCAUGGUUACAACUUGCUGAGAACUCACUCUUGGCCAAGGCUUCUAUCACCAAGCAUGGUUAUGCCUUGCUGAUUUCGGAUCUUCAACAGGUGUGGCAUGAACAGGUGGACACUUUGGAGGUCAGCCAGCGAGCCAAGGAGCUGAACAAGCGCCUCACCGCUCCCCCUGCAGCUUUUCUCCAUCACUUGGAUGAAGUGC